rnacentral:rRNA from 1 species
UGCGUGAGAAUUUGCCUUUAGGAGGAGGAUAACCAUUAGAAAUAAUAGCUAAUACUCCGUAAAGUCUUAUUAUUUAAGAUGAAAGAAUAUAUUCGCCUAAAGAGAAGCUCACGUCUGAUUAGCUAGUUGGUAAGGUAAAGGCCUACCAAGGCGCCGAUCAGUAGCUGGUUUGAGAGGAUGAUCAGCCACAUUGGAACUGAGAGACGGUCCAAACUCCUACGGGAGGCAGCAGUGGGGAAUUUUCUGCAAUGGGCGAAAGCCUGACAGAGCAAUACCGCGUGAGGGAACGAAGGCUUUCGAGUUGUAAACCUCUUUUUUCAAGGAUGAAGAUCUGACAGUACUUGAAGAAUAAGCAUCGGCUAACUCUGUG